rnacentral:piRNA from 1 species
UGCUAGGGGAUUCCUGCCUCUCUGGA